rnacentral:ribozyme from 1 species
GGAACGGAUCGGCUCCGUCGGCAACCAGUACGCGAUCACGACGAUCCUCGCCUGCCUCAUGUCCGCGCCCCUCGUCGCCUGGGCCGAGGGCGC